UACGGGGGGGGUAAGCGUUGUUCGGAAUUACUGGGCGUAAAGGGCUCGUAGGCGGCCAACUAAGUCAUACGUGAAAUCCCUCAGCUUAACUGGGGAACUGCGUGUGAUACUGGAUGGCUUGGAUUUGGGAGAGGGAUGCGGAAUUCCAGGUGUAGCGGUGAAAUGCGUAGAUAUCUGGAGGAACACCGGUGGCGAAGGCGGCGAUCCUGGACCAAUAUUGACGCUGAGGAGCGAAAGCCAGGGGAGCGAACAGG
rnacentral:rRNA from 1 species